rnacentral:rRNA from 1 species
UACGUAGGAUGCAAGCGUUGUCCGGAAUUAUUGGGCGUAAAGAGUUCGUAGGCGGUUGCCUAAGUCUGGUGUUAAAUACAGGAGCUCAACUCCUGCAUGGCACUGGAAACUGGGCAGCUAGAGUGUGGUAGAGGUCACGGGAAUUCCAGGUGUAGCGGUAGAAAUGCGUAGAUAUCUGGAGGAACACCAGUGGCGAAAGCGCGUGACUGGGCCACAACUGACGCUGAGGAACGAAAGCCAGGGGAGCGAAAGGG